rnacentral:tRNA from 1 species
GUGGGUGUAGCUCAGUUGGUAGAGCCCCGGAUUGUGAUUCCGGUCGUCGAGGGUUCAAGUCCCUUCAUCCACCCCA